rnacentral:rRNA from 1 species
GACGAACGCUGGCGGCGUGCCUAAUACAUGCAAGUCGAACGAGAGCGCCCGGUGCUUGCCCUGGUCAAUCUAGUGGCGGACGGGUGAGUAACACGUGGGUAACCUGCCCAUCAGAGGGGGAUAACAUCCGGAAACGGAUGCUAAAACCGCAUAGGUCUUCGAACCGCAUGGUUUGAAGAGGAAAAGAGGCGCAAGCGUCUGCUGAUGGAUAGACCCGCGGUGCAUUAGCUAGUUGGUGAGGUAACGGCUCACCAAGGCCGUGACGCAUAGCCGACCUGAGAGGGUGAUCGGCCACAUUGGGACUGAGACACGGCCCAAACUCCUACGGGAGGCAGCAGUAGGGAAUCUUCCGCAAUGGACGCAAGUCUGACGGAGCAACGCCGCGUGAGUGAAGAAGGUUUUCGGAUCGUAAAACUCUGUUGUUAGAGAAGAACAAGUGCUGGAGUAACUGUUAGCGCCUUGACGGUAUCUAACCAGAAAGCCACGGCUAACUACGUG